AUACGGGAGGCAGCAGUCGGGAAUUUUGCGCAAUGGGCGAAAGCCUGACGCAGCAACGCCGCGUGAGGGAUGAAGGCCUUCGGGUCGUAAACCUCUUUUCUCAGGGAAGAUCAUGACGGUACCUGAGGAAGAAGCCACGGCUAACUACGUGCCAGCAGCCGCGGUAAUACGUAGGUGGCAAGCGUUGUCCGGAUUUACUGGGCGUAAAGAGCGCGCAGGCGGUCGGCCAAGUCGAAUGUGAAAGCCCCCGGCUCAACUGGGGAGGGUCAUUCGAUACUGGUCGACUCGAAGGCAGGAGAGGGACGUGGAAUUCCCGGUGUAGUGGUGAAAUGCGUAGAUAUCGGGAGGAACACCAGUGGCGAAGGCGGCGUCCUGGCCUGUUCUUGACGCUGAGGCGCGAAAGCCAGGGGAGCGAACGGGAUUAGAUACCCCGGU
rnacentral:rRNA from 1 species